UAAUUUUUAUGGUUUGCAUUCUUAAACUUUUUUAUUCGAAAUCAAAUUCUUAAUACUUGAUAGCUAGUGACUUUGUUUAUUAGUCAUCAUUAGUGAUAUAUCUUCAUUUGCAUUUUCUCUGGGCAUUUUGUAAUUUGCAUUUUGUAAUAAAAAAAAUAGAUUUUUAAUUAAUGGAUAAUUAGAUUAUAAAUAAGAUUACCUGAUAUCAGCAGAUGAUUAAAUGUUUGUAUAUAAUAAAUUUUGAUUGCUCAGAAAAAUUGCACUAAAUAUUUAAAUGUAUAGUCUGGAAGAUCUUAGACUUUAGAAUCAACAAAAAUAUCAUCCAGUAUAGUAAUAUAGAAUAUUUUGAUACUGACAAACUUAAAUCUUACGGUAUAAGAAUAACAAUAUAAUGUUACAAUCACUACACAUGAAAGGAACUGAAAGCAUAUCGAAUAUAAAAUAUAUUAGAUGCUAUUAUUUGCUUUCUUCGCUAUAAUUUUUAUAUUCGAUAAUUAUAUCACACAGAAUCAUAUUCUAGAAUCACGUAAAUGUUACAAUGUGUAAAAGAACCCUUCAUCCGAAGAAUAAUAGUCUUGUUUCACACGAUAUAUUGCGUGCAACAUAUAAUGGAACUAUCGUAAAUAUUUAAUGAAUCGACUUUCAUUGGUAUCUAUUUCAUAAACUUCCAUAAGACAGACUGUUAUUUUCAUUUAGUAUAUUCUAACUUGGAAGAACAUUCGAUGAAAUAAGUAUCUUUAACAACAUGAACAUUCGUCAAAUACUUUACAUUCUAGAAUUGAUAGGAACAUUCACGUGUACUUGGCCAAUUAAUCCGAAUAUUAGUAAAAGGCGAAUUAUUUUUCGUAACAUUUUCUGGAUAUUCUCGAUUUUGAACGUGAUUUUAUUAAUGACAUCGUUGAUGCUCGCUGUUGUUUAUUUUCGAAAUGACAUACUUAUGUCACUGAAAACUGCUUCCGAAAUGGCCGCUUUGCUCGAAGUCGUUUUGGAUUUGAUUCUUUGCAAAUGGAACAACAGUGAAUUUCAGGUUUUGAUAGAAGAGGUCAAAUCGUUCGUGGAGAUGGCCAACGAAUACGAAAUUAAAAUACUGCAGGGAUAUGUAAAUCGUUACAAAAAAUUCUUCUCAACAGUUUCGAUGGGAUACAUCUCAACUGCGAUUUCGUUCAGUUUGAUGCCUUUGUUCUCAGCCCAAAAAUUACCCGCAGAUGGAUGGCUUCCAUUCUCCACCGAACCAUUCGGAAUAUAUUGCAUAAUCUAUUUCAAUCACGUUUAUUGCAUUUUACAAACGGCAUUUUGCAUUUUUGUAGAUUUCACAAUUGUCAUCCUCUUUAGUUUCCCCGCUGCCAAAUUAGACGUAUUACGGUCAAAAUUGCGGCAUGUGAAUAAUUAUGACACGUUGGUGAGCUGUAUCAAGGAGCAUCAAAAAAUAAUAGGAGUGUACAAUUUUCAAAUUCGAUUAGCGAUAUUCAGUGGUUGGGUCAAUCAAAUAAAAUGAAGAGUUGCGUGAUUUUCAUGAUGAUGAGAAGUCAAAAAGCAUUUCUCAUUCGUAUGAGUAAUUUGCUACCACCUCUUUCUUUGGAAUAUUGUUCAAAUUUUAUAACUACAGUAUCAUCCUACUUCAUGGCAAUGAGAACUAUGAUUGAAUCAUAAUUAUCCAGGUCUAUAUUAUUUAAAUAUGUAUAAUAUUGAAACGUGCAA